CUAAAAAUAGUAUAAUUAUUACAUUAUUUUUUCAUAAUAAAAAUACCUUUCUUCUUGGGUUUUUUAGU
rnacentral:tRNA from 1 species